GAAUCACGGUAUGAUGGUAAGUACGCUAUUGACAUGAAUAAACAGUACAAUAAGAGUCUGGGAUUGUAUCACAGUUUAUCAAUGAACCGCUUAAUCGCUGACUAACCGACUAACCGACUUAACUAAUCGCUGACGUUUUGACCGCGUACUGGACACUACUUACAACAUCACAGUACUUACGGAAAUGACCAUAAUUAAGUUUUGAUAGGGUACAACAACCGUUCGAAAGGUUAUAACGGGUAAACGAAAAACUGCAUAUUGUUUCACCCCAAGCUAACAACUUUCAGUUGUACGCCUGAGGACUCUCCACUGCUAAAUACAGUAUAAUGCUAACGGCGAUGAUUGGAUUUUGAAUGGGCACAAAAAACAUCUGAAAUUUGGCACGGUUUAUUGGCAAACCGUAUACCCUUUCAUCACUGGCUAACAUGUUUUUGAUUGCUUACUGGACUCUCAGACGCUAAUUACAGUAUAACGCUAACAACUUUCACUUGCACACCUCAGGAUGGUGAUUUCAUUUUGGAUGUUUGAUGUUUCACCGUUUGAUCUCCAAGCAAACAUGUUUUUGAUUGCACACCGAACCUUCAGACACUAAUCACGGUAUAACGUGUUAACCCGGACUCUCCCUGCUCAUUAGUCAUGUAAACGACAUACUCUACGGGAUCUGUACCUUCAAGGACGUUUGCUUGCAUCAGACCACUUCCAGAACCUUCAGGGCCACCAAAGUGCGGAAAAGACAUAGAGGCAAGGAUCUCGUAGCUGUUUAAAGUUUUAACAAACAACAAAAAAACCCCAGCGCUUCCCCCGGAAAAAGAAAAAAACCAAUAUGCACCGGAGACCAGAAGUGGAAGCGCUUGUGAAUGUUUCAUAAGGCGCUGAAGCCUGGAGGAUAAGCGAAGCUGACAUUGAGAGCGAUGCGGCGCAAGACGACAGAAUGCAAGAAUUUAAGCGACCGCGUCGCCAGCUUGAGGUCCAUCAGUUGCAGUCUUUUCUGAGCAUAUGAAAAAUAUUGGUGUCCUUUCAAGCAAAUAAGUAGGCCCUGUCAGACUGCCAUUCAUUAUCUUGCCACAGCCUAUGAGAAGGCAUGAUAUGCCGCUUUAUGUAUGUAUGCUACGUAUUUGCUUUUCCUUCUCUCGCACUCACAUAUCAGCACUUAAUACGCAGCUUUGUUGUUUUUAACCGGUUUCCCGUGUCAAAGCAUAAAGAACUGGGUCAAGGGUCAACGAUACAGUAAUGUCAAACACAACAUACAUAUAAAACCUUGAUUCUUUUGCAUUUUUUCAUCCAAUCAUCUUCAAACUUGGUGCACAUAUACUAGAAACUUUUGGGGGGUGACUGACCUUGACAUUAAGGAUAUCGCCUUGGUCAAAGUUGACCAAUACCAGGGUGACAAAGUUGCUUGAAAUGUUCCCCAAAUCUUUGAAGUGAACACACCAUACUGGCUCAUUCAAAAAUUUCUCUUUGAGACGAACUAGAACAAAGAUUUGACCGUUUGACUGGAAUGGAACUGGAGCCAGAGAUGUUAGUGACUUCACAACCAAGCCCUCUCAGUCUACCAUUCAUCCUGACUAAGUGGAAGAUAACGUAUGAUAUGUCGCCUUUCUCACACUGGCAACCCAGCAUCCAAAUACUUCAUACUCCCAUGUAACAACACAGUACAUUAACGUUGGUAAUGAUAUCGUUGAGUACCUUGAUUGUAAAAGGUUCUUUGCAAUGCUUUUAAUUGAUUGGCCUUUGACAUCUUGUUGACAUCUUGUUAAACCGGCUUUAGAAAAUUCUGAUACUGCUGUUGGUUGGUUUUAUAACUGUUUGUCAGGUAGAAAUCAGUGUGUACACUUUGCUGGUCAGUCUUCCUCCUUUCUUCUGAUAACUAAAGGAGUACCCCAAGGCUCUGUUUUAGGUCCAUUGCUGUUUUCUAUUUAUGUGAACAAUCUUUGUCAAAAUGUAUUGAACGCCUCUUUUCAUUUUUAUGCAGAUGAUACAGUCAUCUACUGCUCCUCUCCUUCAAUUGACAAAGCCUUUGACUUCUUCCAGUCUGCAUUUGAUGCUGUUCAGUCACAUCUAAAACAGCCUAGGCUGGUGUUAAAUGCAGACAAAUCUAAAGUUAUGGUUUUCUCAAAUGGAAAACGGCUACACUCUCAGCUCCCUAACAUCAAAACAACUAAAGGGAAAGAAAUUCAAAUUGUCACAUCAUACGUUAUUACUGACGAAAAACUGUCCUUUAAACAACACAUUGAGCAUCCUGUACGUAAACUGAAGCUAAAACUCGAUUUCUUCUUCAGAAAUAAAUCUUGCUUCUCAUUUUAUACAAGAAAGCAUUUAAUGUCUGCUACUUUUUUUACCUUUGCUGGAUUAUGGUGACCUUCUUUUUAUGAACGCAUGUAAUCAUCUUUUAAAAAAGCUAGCCAAUGUUUACCACUCUGCCUUACGCUCCAUGACUGGCCAUGGCAUCGGUGGUCACCAUCGUACUUUGUAUGCUGCAGCUGAGUUUCCAUCCCUGUACGUUCUGAGGUGGACUCAUUGGCUGGUUUUUAUCCAUAAAUGUAUUCUUGGGCUCCUACCAUCUUACCUUUGUAGAUACAUGCACAAAUACCAACAACAGUAUGUU